rnacentral:ribozyme from 13 species
AGCUUUCUGAUUCUCCUUGUUCUUUUUCUUUUCUUGCUCCUUUAUCAUUUUGACUUCGGAAAGGAGAAUCAGAGAAGGGAGGAGGAGAAAGUUUGGGAGGAGGAGAAGGACCAUCAAAAAAUUCAGGGAUAACAAAGUCUUCUUCUUCUCGGAGGUUCUUCUCUUUACUCUCAGAGAAAAAAAGAUCGUCAAGAGAGGUUCUCAA